rnacentral:rRNA from 1 species
UACGUAGGGUGCGAGCGUUAAUCGGAAUUACUGGGCGUAAAGCGUGCGCAGGCGGUUCGCUAAGACAGAUGUGAAAGCCCCGGGCUUAACCUGGGAACUGCGUUUGUGACUGGCGGGCUGGAGUGUGGCAGAGGGGGGUGGAAUUCCGCGUGUAGCAGUGAAAUGCGUAGAGAUGCGGAGGAACACCGAUGGCGAAGGCAGCCCCCUGGGCUGACACUGACGCUCAGGCACGAAAGCGUGGGGAGCAAAC